UGGUCCUGGGCUGUGGACAGAGGCGCCGGCCGUAGGGUGUCAGAGGACCCGGGUUAGAUGCUUUGUGAGGCAUCCGGGGUCUCCUUACUGGGUGACAAGUCGGGAGGUGUCCUGGAACAGUGGGGGUGGGAUGGAUUGCAAAGAGAGGGUGUCCCAGGAAUUUGUACAGGGGACAGUGGGGUAGGUGUCCUCGGACUCUGUGUACGUGUGUGUGUCGCGUCCGCUGAGGUAUCCUGCAACAGGGAGGGGAGUGUCACCGAGUGUUUCCCAGUGCCGCCCUUCGUGCCAGGCCUCUGGCCUCCGGGGAGGGGCUCCGCGGGUGCCUUCGUGCUGCGGCGUCUGCCCUGGACUGUGGUGACGAAGGCCAUCAGGACUGCCUCGCCCCCGUGCCCUCCUGUCUCCGCUGUCACUCUCGUCUCUGCAGCUGUGGGAACGGGAUCUUGAGCAGCUGCCUUUCUGUUCCUACACGUGUGUCUGUCUUGAAGCAAAUCCAAUCUACAGACCUUGGAAUUAUUCAAAAGCUUAAAUUAGGGAUUUUUUUGAAAACCUGGAUUUCCCAGUUGUUUUACUGUAGGAUUCUUUAAGAGAACAAACACACCAGUAUAUUUAAAAUGAAUCAGUUUAUGGAAAAUCAGCUUAAUUCAACAGACGUUGAGUUAAAUUAUCUGCUCUGCUCAAAGCACUGUAUUGUGGGAAAUCUCAGAGAAGACCAAGACCAGGUCCUUGCCCUCCGGGAAGCCCGUGUAGCUGGGAAGAUGGGCCGUGGCCGCAAAUAGGUGGUGACCCAGGAGGGCCCUCUGCAGCGCCCCGACCCUCCCGCGGGAUGGACCUGGGCAGGCCGGCUCCCGCCUGUGUUCACCUGGCACCUGGUGUCCCGUUGGACGGGAGGAGUGACCCCAGCCAGCCCCAGACCCAGGUGUUUGGGGAGCCAGCUGCAGGUGUUUUAAAUCUUUUGGAACACUCCGCCUUACCCACUAUCACACCUAAGAAAAUGGAUAAAAAAUAAUUCCCUAAUAUUAUCCAAUAACCAGUUUCCCUUCAGCUUCAUCUAGUCACCACCGAAAUACGUCCCCCCGCAACAGUGAAUUUAUGAAAAUCCUCACACAGCAGAGCCGAGUUCCGCCGGGAUCACCCGAGUUCCGCCGGGAACACCUGAAGCCUGUCCGAGUACUCGCUGUUCGAGUACUUGUUUCCAUGCGUGUCUGUUCCCCCGGCCCGUCUUCGGUUCUGAGACGCAUCACGUGCGGACACGGGCACCCCCACGCCCCGGUGUGUGCGGUCCCGUGCUGGGACUCGUGCUUGGGACUUACUCUCCGAAUUUCCGCUUUCUCUUUUGAUGCAAACGUCAGGUCUGUGAUGGAUACCUCAGAACGUACACGUCUUGUCACGCUUGCUGAGUUCUGACAAACCUUUACACGGAUGUCCCUCGUGCCUCUGUCAAGAUACAGAUCUUUCCCAGGGCUCCAGAAAGUUCUCUUACGACCCUUCCUACCCUCCACAGGCAGCCAUUUGGAUUUUUUCCCCGCCGUGGGUUAAUUUUGCCUGUUGUAAGUGGAGCUGUCUCCCAUGUACUCUUUCACGUGAGGCUUCUUUCAGUGGGUGUCACCCUCUCUCCGUGUCCUUCUGUGGGUCGUGGUCUGUUACUUUGUAACAAACUUUUCCAGCCUCCUUCUCCAGGUUUUUACAAAGGAAGCUGCCAUGGACAAUGUUAUCCACGUUCGUAAACAUGUUUGCGUUUCUCUUGCAUAAAUAAAUUCCCCGGGGGGAUAUCUCUGGGUCACAGA